GGGUAGGGGUAGAGUUAGGGGUAGGGUUAUGGUAGGGUUAGGGGUAGGGUUGGGUUAGGAAUAGGGUUAGGGUUACCCUAACCCUAACCCUACCCCAACCACUAACCCAACCUCUAACCUUACCCCAACCACUAACCCUUCCCCAACCUCUAAACCUAACCCUACCCCUACUCCAACACCUAACCCUUCCCCAACCACUAACCCUACCCA